rnacentral:rRNA from 1 species
UCGGGAAUUUUGGGCAAUGGGGGAAACCCUGACGCAGCGACGCCGCGUGUGGGAUGAAGGUCUUCGGAUUGUAAACCACUGUCGCGAGGGACGAAGCUCUGACGGUACCUCGAAAGGAAGCACCGGCUAACUCUGUGCCAGCAGCCGCGGUAAUACAGAGGGUGCGAGCGUUGUCCGGAAUCACUGGGCGUAAAGGGCGCGUAGGCGGCCCGGUAAGUAGGGGGUGAAAUCUCAUGGCUCAACUGUGAGGCUGCCUUCUAGACUGCCAGGCUUGAGCACAGUAGAGGCGAGUGGAAUUCCCGGUGUAGCGGUGGAAUGCGUAGAGAUCGGGAAGAACAUCGGUGGCGAAGGCGGCUCGCUGGGCUGUUGCUGACGCUGAGGCGCGAAAGCGUGGGGAGCAAACAGGAUUAGAUACCCCGGUAGUCCCUGAGCGGGCUGGCAAGGCGCAU